rnacentral:rRNA from 1 species
UACAGAGGUCUCAAGCGUUGUUCGGAUUCAUUGGGCGUAAAGGGUGCGUAGGCGGCGCGGUAAGUCGGGUGUGAAAUCUCGGAGCUUAACUCCGAAACUGCAUUCGAUACUGCCGUGCUUGAGGACUGGAGAGGAGACUGGAAUUUACGGUGUAGCGGUGAAAUGCGUAGAUAUCGUAAGGAAGACCAGUGGCGAAGGCGGGUCUCUGGACAGUUCCUGACGCUGAGGCACGAAGGCCCAGGGGAGCAAAACGGGG